rnacentral:rRNA from 1 species
UACGUAGGGGGCGAAGCGUUAUCCGGAUUCAUUGGGCGUAAAGAGCGCGUAGGCGGAUUGUUAAGCGAGAUGUGAAAACCGGGGGCUCAACCCGCGGCCUGCAUCUCGAGCUGGCAGUCUUGAGUCUGGUAGAGGAAAGUGGAAUUCCCAGUGUAGCGGUGAAAUGCGCAGAUAUUGGGAGGAACACCAGUGGCGAAGGCGGCUUUCUGGGCCACGACUGACGCUGAGGCGCG